UAAAAUUAUUACAAGUUCAACAAACAAUAAAAUUAAGAAUCGCAAGAACUUUAAAUAUAGAUUUUGUUCACUCAAAUCAUGAAAGUUUCCAAAAUAGAUGAAAGAAGAUUCCCACAAUAGAUCAAAGAAGAUUCCCACAAUAAAUUAUAUAAAGAAGUUAAAUUUGACUUUCAUUGAUAUACUUACAGGAAAAUAACAGAAAUAAUUUUAUAUUCUAAUGACAAUCAGAUAAUUAAACUGCUAACAAGUUAGAAGAAGAGUUUAAUGUUACUAAUUAUAUGGGUGCAGAUGGCUUUCAUCUUUCCCCUUAUUCAGAUGUGUAUCAUCAGUCAUCGUGUAUCAUAAAAAUGUUAAGUUAGUGCAGUUAAACUAUUAAAAGAUAAUCAUGAACUUAUUGAUAUGUUUGUAGUAGAACUAUCAAUAUUUUCAUGAUAAUAGAAACUACUUGAAAAUAUAAGAUACUCGAAAAUAAGUUGUAUUCUCAAGAUGGUUUUGAUGAGAUGAUGGUUCUUGUAUUAAAAACAAUGGAAGACAACAGACAAAUCUGAGCUAGAACUAAAUUCAUUGGGACAAAAUUCAGUUAAUAUUGGAUCCAUCAGUAGUUUAUUACAAAGUAAAUGAUGUUCUGAAAUUGGGUUUAUUGUUUUAUCUCAGAUGAUUUUUGCUGCAUGAUGUAGAUAUGAUGUAUCAUGUGAUGAAGUUUACAGUUUAAUGCA